AUUGAACGCUGGCGGCAUGCUUUACACAUGCAAGCCGAACGGUAACAGGGUGCUUGCACCGCUGACGAGUGGCGAACGGGUGAGUAAUGCGUCGGAACGUGCCGAGUAGUGGGGGAUAACGCAGCGAAAGUUGUGCUAAUACCGCAUACGUACUGAGGUAGAAAGUGGGGGACCUUCGGGCCUCACGCUAUUCGAGCGGCCGACGUCUGAUUAGCUAGUAGGUGAGGUAAAGGCUCACCUAGGCGACGAUCAGUAGCGGGGCUGAGAGGAUGAUCCGCCACACUGGGACUGAGACACGGCCCAGACUCCUACGGGAGGCAGCAGUGGGGAAUUUUGGACAAUGGGCGAAAGCCUGAUCCAGCCAUGCCGCGUGUCUGAAGAAGGCCUUCGGGUUGUAAAGGACUUUUGUCAGGGAGGAAAUCCCUAGUGCUAAUAACACUGGGGGAUGACAGUACCUGAAGAAUAAGUACCGGCUAACUACGUGCCAGCAGCCGCCGUAA
rnacentral:rRNA from 1 species